AGGCAUAGUGAUAUUGCCUUCUUUCUCACCCUACUCUAAUAAGGUUUUGAAAUCUGGAGCUCAUAGGUGGGAGACAGAUAAUACAUACUUACAAGACAUUUAUUGCAUAGUCAAACCAUGGAUCCAGAGAAACAAGUCAAUAAGUCAAAUCAAGAUGUGCAUGUGUGGCGAGUGAAUGGUGUAUGGUGAUGAUGGUGAUAACAAUGGUGAAAGUCUAAUUCUACUUUUGCUCUUUUAAGGGGAUACACAACUUUCUUGCACUUUGAAGCUUUUUGAGGAGAAUGAGAUGCUCUAUAUUUUCUUUUUCUUUUUCUCUCAGGUGGGUAUCUUUGUACCCCUAAUUCUACUGUCGGACACUUGUCCAUUUUUACCUCUCGUCUCACUUUUUCUUUUCUUUGAGGUUCCGGGCACUUGCCCCUUUUUAUUUCCUCGUAUACUUUUUUUAGAGCACUCAUCUCCUUAAAUAAUAUAGCAAGUGGUAGUAACCAAGAUACCUCAAGCAUUUAUUUCAUAGGGAAAAACAGUAAUGUUUUUGGCUAUUCUCUCCCAGAUUAGGAGUAGAAUAAUUUUGGGUGAAUCUGGAGAUGGAAAUGAGUGGAUGUAUGUAGAUGCGUACGUCCGGAGUAGAAGCAGCAUGUGUGAGUGAACGUGCAAGUGAAUCUUGAUUUUAACCGCAUGACAAGCUCCUAAGGGUCUACACAGCUUGACCACACUCAAUGCUCAUAAGCAGUAAAAAGUAAAUGGGUGGCUCAAAGUCUAAUAAGCAUGUAUAUAUGGCUGUGGUAGGAUUUUAAACUCUCAUCAUACAGGAACUCAUCAUGUGUUAUUUUAAAGAUUUUUCAAAGAUAAAAUUCUCCAGAAUUCUAGCAUCUCUAGGAACAGAUAAACAGCAGCUCAACCUUCCCAUAUCAUAUCUGUUAACGACUUAGACUUCAGAUCAAGUACUCUUCCCACAAGUUCAGGUUUAGAGCAGGUUUAAAUUAAAAUAGUUAUGCCUAAACUUGAGAGAGAUUUCAAUUUUAAGAACUAGUCAUGGCAGAGCAACUAUUGAUCAUUUCCAUGUGAGAGCAUAUCAUAAGGGUUCAUAGCAAACUUCAUUUAUUUAUUUAUUUAGCAAACCAAGCAAAGAUAUAUAUAAGCACAAAAUUUUUAUUUGGGUUUCAUAAUUAUGUAUCUUUUAUUUUUUGAGUAAAGUAUAAACGCGAGUAUAAACACUUAGCUGGAUAAAUGGGGGUGCUCUCCCCCAAGCUGGAUUUUGACGUAAUUUCUCCUGAUGUAGCUGGCAGGUGGCGGAAGUGUAUUUGAAUGUCGGUAGCACCCUGACAGCGAUUAGAAUGUCCUCCGUCUGCUAGUCUUCUUUGAUCCUAGAAUUUUGUGGAGCUCAAAUAGACAACAAAGCUUUGUGGAACUAGCUAAGUGUUAGCAUAAAUAUCUAGCCUUUAUCAUGUUGAGCCUCCUCAAUAAAUGUUACUCUCUUUAGUAGGAUCUUAAAUUUAUUUUUUAUAUUUUUAUUUUUAUAGGACAGGAAUAUAUUUAUUUUAUUUUUAUACCACCACAGUGGAUGUACUUAUGGGUUUUAUGCCAUGAGCAUACUCACAUGGGGCUUACUAUUUUUAACAUUUUUAUUUUCUUUUCGAGAUGAUAUGAACCUGAUUAACUAAGCAAACUAUUUUAAAUAAUUAAAAGGAAAAGGAUAACUACCAAGUUUACCUCUUGGCAAGACGUUCGGUGUUUUUAAGUCCUCCGAACGACACUCUCUGUUUUCUCAGUCGUCCUGGGAUUUGCUAGAUGGCGUAGUCGGUGGUUCUGGCGGCUAUAACUAUCUUCUCUUUCCACAUCUGACUCGGUGCUACGGUCUCCUCAGGACAGUUCUAUUCAAGCUUUAUGUCUUCAGACCUUACCACUUCUCCUUCGUAGUCUGCCCAUCCGUUUUUGAUGAUUUGCCUCCUCUGGUUGCGGUUGCGUUGUCUUCUUCUUGUCCUGACCUGCUUAGAGUCUUCAACUAUAUAGUUAGAAUCAUUAAAGUAGUGGCGUACCUUCUUAGAGGGGAAGUUCAUGUGGACUUCUCUGGUUCCAAUAUAGAUGAUAACUUUGAUAGUGUUGAGGAACGGUCUUCCAAUGAUGAUGGGUGGAUCAUACUCGUCUUCUCCCAUGUCAAUGACCUAAAAAUCAUCUGGAGCUGAAUGUAUGUUGGUUGUAGAGGCAUGGUUCCAUGCAGGAGCUGAUAAGUGACUGCGGCCAUUAUGUUGAUGUCAGAUCUGGUGUCGUAGAGUGUCUUCUGAAAAGAGUAUCCAUUGAUUGUGUACUCGAUGCUUAGAACACCAGGGUCGUCUUUCUUGAUCAGGAAAGGCGACUUGAGUCGACAAUCUUGACCUCCUUGAGCUGCAGUGACCAUCUUAGCUGACUCGGUCCACAUUUGCUUGUUCCUGUUCCUCCUGUUGAUCCUCUUCCUUUGUUCAUGUCGGGAUUGCUCUGAAAUUUGUGUAGUUUUGUUAUUGAAGGAAAACGUCUCCUUCUUCCCCUUGAUGUAGAAACUGAUCUUAGUAGUACUAACGUAGAUGACAACUCCUAAGGUGUUCAGGAAUGGCCUCCAUAGGAUGAGGGGUGCCUUCUCAUUAGUACCAGUCUCUAUCACUAUGAAGUCUUGAUUUUGUUGAGGACGGUUGUAGUAGUAGUUGUUUGUUGUUGAUGUAGUUUACGUCCUCAAGCAUCUUAGGGCAGUGAUUGCCUGAGUGUCUAGUAUCUCUAGUGUGUUUGUGCUCGUAGAUCCAGGUUCUUCACUUGGUGGAAUCUGGGAGUUGUAAAACUCCUUCAGGUUUUGCUCGAAGUGUACCUGCUCAUAGAGACAAGGCAGAGAUCAAGUGCAUGGGCCCUGUUGGUGAAAAACACCAACAGAACCAAAAGUGUAUUUGUUCUUUUCUAACCUUAAGCAUAGUGAGCAAGAUAAUGUUGAUGGAUCAUGAGUGUAGCAUUUGUCAGAUCAGAUGGCUCAACCUAAUGGGAAGAUAAUCUAUAUAUAUUUAUGUUUUGUUUAUAUCUUCCAAAGAUUAAAUGUGCAACAUAUUAGCUUAUAUGAUUAGGAGUGUGGGAUCACGAAGGUAGUACUAAGAACAAAGAUUAAAGGACUAAACAUGCUGAAUCAGUUGAGUUGGUUAAUUUAGAGUUAUAAAUCAUACAUGUUUGUCUCUUUUAUUCAUGUGUAUGCCAGAACCAAGGAGAAACUUAUAAAAGUGAUAAUCAAGUACUUUAAGAUGUUACCUUAAUUGAAGAGUGAUGGUAUAGUAUCACCUUGUGGAAGCUCUCCUUUCUUCGCAGUUGUGCAUCGGGUCUAUGGCACUCUUUGUCUUGUUCCAUGGAUCAUCUCUCUAUGAUGAAUGAGCUAUGUCUUCCUUGUGCAAAUCGUUAAACUUCAUGUGUCUCCUUUAUCUCCAACGUGAGUUUGUAUCUCAGGACUUCCCAGGUUGAUAUUGAAUGUUUUCCUGCAGGGGUUAGUCCGACAAAAUAUACCAAUGCCUACUCAAGCAGUUUUUAGUUCAGUAACCAAACUAGACUCCAUGUCUAAUUAGAUUAAGGAAGGCUAUUUAACCUAAGCACCAUGCUUAAUUUAAAUGCCAAUGGAAGUAUGUCCAGUACUUCCAAACCAACACUUACUUAAGAUAAACAUAGGUAGCAUGAUGACAUUUAUAGAGAUCUACUCAAGUGGAGAUGAAGUAGUGUGAUUAGUAUUUAACAAAUUGAGCAUGUCUUAAAGGUAAGGACAACCAACAUAGCAACAUGGCAAAUGAUGUUUUUAUGUGAAGUACUCUCCCAAUCUUGAAUUUUGCAAAAUUCAAGAUUGGAUGAAUUUAAUUCAAUGUUGCAUGAUGAUUGGUUGGGCAUACCUUGCGCUUGUCAUUCCUCGAAUCUUCUUGCUCCAAUCCUAGAAAGGUUAGUGACACGAAUACCCGAAGGAAUAUUUCUACAAUUAUCUUUAUAUGCUCAAUACACAAGGCAAUGUUGCAAAUAAUUAGAAGUUCAUGUUACGAUCUGAUAAGUGCUUGUUUUAGGAUGCUAAGCUUAUCCUUGGGAAACCAUCAAGUUAUGUUGGUGAAGUGGUUUCCCCUCCAACACCAAUCUAUAUCGAUCUGCAAUAUUUAUUAUAGACAUAUGCAUCGACAACCGCCCUUUUAAAGUUUUUAUAAAUAGAAAGGAAGAGAGGGUUGGAGAUCUCAAAUGUGGUGGUAGCACAUGGAUUUUUAAUGCCCCCUAGCCAUUGAUGUUGCUCUUCCCGAUCCUCCUUCUUAUGCAUGGGAUGUCUAGAGAGAUUCAUAGGAUUAUCGGGAGGUUCAAGAGAAAGAGCAUAGUAGAAAUUAUUAAGCUCAAGGAUGGGUUGGAUAGCCGAAUUAUGGGAUUGAAAUGUUUGGAAAUCGGUUAUUGAAACUUCCUUUCCUCGUUUGGGAGAUGAUUCCUUCUCUAUCUCUAGGAUAUUUUUAUGAAGACUAGUGCAAGAAGGAUGUCCACAAAUGAAGACAUACCUUCCUUUACUAAUAGAUAAAGAAAGAAAGACUCUAUCAAAGGUUACAUGAUUAAGACCAAUGUGAAAAUAUCGAGAAAAAACAUGGUCUUGUAGGGCUAGGUUUAAACCAGAAUUUAUAGAAAGAUUAACAGAUUCCCUAGGUGUAGCUAAAAGUUCAUUAUCUUUUUGAUUAAAAGAUAGGACCUCGGCUAUGAAAAAGGUUUGGUUUUGACCUAUUGCAAUCAACUCCGGACACAGAUCAUAAUUAGGGGCAUGACUUGUUGACUCCCAUGGUCUAUGGCUGGUCUCCGAAGGUGCAAAGAAUUCCAUAAUAGGUAUGGAAUUUAAGUUAUCCAUAAAGAUAAAAAUAAAAAGAUAAAAGAAUAAAAGUAUAAAAGUAUAAUACAAGAUAAUAGCAAGACUUAAAGUUAUCUCAGCAAACCGUCUUUCGAUCCCCAGCAAUGGCGCCAGAAAUGCUUGUUGAUAUUUGGUAACGCAAUAAGGAAAUGAUCCGCAAGCGCACGAAUAUCGGUGAGCAUUUCACCCGGGAGGUUUUCCAGAGUAUCGUAUUUAUAUUUUUACCUCUAGGAGAAAGGGUGCAUCUGACUAACCAAAUCUUUUGCUACUAUCCUUUUAGGCUACAAAGAAUCUUUCUCGAUGUCAGUGAUGUAUAGAGAAGACUGCAACCGUAGUCUCAUUCUAACCUUAGUAAGGAUGAUGUACUGUUCUAUUGGGGAAGCUUACGGAAUCUAGACACCACAAAGGAUGUUCGACCCGCACCUAUAAACCCUACCCUUCCCGCUAACGAGAUGUGGGCUGCAAAGGUAACUUGGAAAUGUCACGUUCCUCGCUACUACCACAGUCCAGCUAGUCAGGGGAUAUCUAUGAGUACCCUAGCCUAAACACCACGUUUAUGCUAGCAAUGAUUACUCUAAUACUCAACUGGAAGAGAUUUAAGUAAACUCAUAAACCAAAGAACAAUAAAACAAGAACUUACUAGAAUUAGAAGUCGAAUUACUGAAGAAUCCUAGGAGCAAGCUUCGGGUUAGGAGAACUUGAUCCCAAAGGUACAACCUCGGAGUAGACACCGACAGGCCGGGCUUCCUCCGAUCUACACCUCCACUCUAUAUCUCUCAAUCUAGUAGAAACUAGAAGAUCUAAUUCUACUCACAUUGGAUGCUAAGCCUAAAAGAAAUUUUAUUUAGAGGAGAGGUAUUCCUUCGAGGGCUCCUCUCAACUCUAUGAUGAACUUGUCUCCUCCAGGGGCCAGGUGGUCUGGUUUUAUAGUCCCCUCAAGUGAACGUGAGCCAUUGGAUCAAACCGACAUUGAUUGGACGGUUAUCCUUGAUCCUUUAGGUCGGUGGAGAUUAGUCCGCAAUGUUGGACGUGUUUGGCUACAACUCGUGGGCGGGCGCCCUACCCCCGGGCCCGUUCGCCUUCCCGUUCGUUCCCGUGGCUUCUGGAGUCUUCUAGAUGACGUAAAAUUGCGCGGCACGUUAAUAUCUCUAUGUAAACCUGACAUGUGGGCCUUUCCUCCGUAUUUCCUGAUAACCCCCUGCAGAAAUAGACAAAUACCAAAACUCGUGGAAUUCGGUCAGAUAAAACCCUAAGUCUUGGUGUUGGUUGCAUUUGGAUCCUUUUCUUUAUUUAUUUGAUGAUUAUAUUUGGUACUUAAGGACCGUCAACAGAGGGUCUAGCAGUUGUAUCUUUAGAAAAGUGCUUGUGACUUCUUUUGUAGUAUUUGGCUUGUUAUCUUCUUUUGUAAGAGUUGGGUGGUAGUUGGUCGUUGAGUAUUUACUUUUUCGAGUUCAUGGGUUGUACAGUGCCCGAGAUAUUCCUCAAAUAUGUUGUCCUGUGAUUCUAUGUACUGUUGCUUAUUCAGCCAUCCUUUCAUGUCUCUUUUAUCUAUGUGCUCUAGUUUUGGCCUAUAAAUACCUUCCUAGCGAGCUUGAGUCAAACCAUUGAGUGUUUUGUUGUCCCUUCGUAACUUUGUAGCAUGUUGUUUCUUUUAGCUGAGCUUUGUGUUAGUUGGUUUGCUCAGCCUCUGAGCAGGAGUAGUCGAGCCCCCGAGCUUGUUGAAGUCUCUAAAUCUUUGAUGUUAGCCUUGGUGGUUGUUGACACUUCUUAAUGCAACUACUAAAAAUAGACUCUUAAACCUAUCCCUAGCAAUGACGUUAAAAUUACUUAACAUCACUUAAACUAGGAUGUCAUCCCUAACAUGAUGUAGAAGUGCUGGUAUUAAAUCUAUAUGCUUUUCUAGGAAUAAAUAAAUAAAGGAUCCCCAAGCGCACAGAUAAUACGGAUGUAGCAUUUUAACAAUAAGUAUUCCAAGUAUCGUUAUUUAUAUUUUUAACACUCGGAAGGUACUUGCAAUGGAUAAUGAGCAAUGAGCACUACAUGUAAUUAUGGAGACCUUAACCAUGACUUUAUCUAUCUCUCAUGGAGGGUAAGUGUCACAUAAGAUAAAUAUGAAUAUGAAUAAUAAGUCACAGAUGAUAAAUAAGAAUUCAUAGCCAUAAGAUAAACAUGAUAAUCAUCUCAAUUAGAUUACUCUAAGUCUAUAACACUAGCAUGGUAUUAGGAUAAUCUAUGAGAAUAAAUCCUUAGUAUUCUAACUAUACUAUCAAAGGAAACUUCGAUUAGUGCAAGUACACCUAGCAUCAUCAUUAGAAAAGUGUAUAUCUAUGCAUAGUGAUAUUAGCAAGAAAGAUCAUGAACAUAGCAAUAACUUUCCUAUAAUAAUGGUGCUCUACAAUCCAUAUAAUUGGGAGAAGGAAUAGAAAGGACUCAAUAGGACUGUCACUCCCACGAUCUACCUCAAGCUUCGGACUAUAAGGGGGUAAUCGUAGAUAAAUACGGUCUAGGCACCACACCUACACAACAUUUACCACUUACCCAUCGAUCUAAUGAGUAAGCACUAUACGAUCCUAUGCAUAAACAUAAUUCUAAUCUAACUUCACAAAGCAUAUGAUCAAGGUAAACUAGCAAAUAUAAUAAAGUCAAUUCUGAUAUAAUCAAAUAGAUCAAAGUCAUAUUUAUAUUAGCAAGAACUAAUAUAAAUAUAACAAAGUGAAUAAGAGUUUACUAAGAACUGAAGAUAGAUUCGGACUCCAAGAUUGACUUCACUCCUUCUAGAUCUAUUCCUAUGUAGCGAUGCUAAAGAACUAUAGAGAUCUAACUUAGAUGGUGGCUAAGAAUCCUAUAGAGACAGAUCCAUUCGAGGGACCCCACUCUGUUUAAUUCUUCUCUUGAUCUUCUCAAAGAAUAAUUAUGAACUACUCCUACAGGGGGGUCAAGGUCUUUAUUUAUAGCCCCCUAGGAAGCACCACAACCCUUGGAUCAAACCAACUUAAACGUGCGCUUAAGAUGAAUACCCAAAGUCAGUGGAGGCAGGAUCCGCAAGGUUCAACUUGUUUGGUUGAACCUACCGGGUGGCCACCCCAGAUAGGGUGGGGCGCCCACCCCUGCCCUAUGGCAGGUGGGCCCCACCUUUUAGGUGGUGUCUUCCCGAGCCUUCUGGAGUAUUCCUGAAUUUACGUUUCACAUAUUCUCUCUUUGUAAAUCUGAUAUGUGGACCUCAUAUUGUUCUUAUUCCGAUAACCCCCUGUAGAAAUAGACAAUCACCAAAACUUGUGGAAUUUUGUUAGUGAUAACCCCUAUAGCUAGAUAGUAUUAUGAUUUUAAUCCUUUCUCAUGCUAUGUUGACGGUUAAAAAGAGUACUUAUCUACCGUCAACACCUACUCGUACAUAGAUCUCUUCCAUAAUUCUUAUGGGGUAGCAGAGUAACUGAUAUACAAGCUGCAAACACAUGGUUGUGUGUGAUAAAGGAUAAUUGAAAAUAUUCUCGUAUAUCACCUUAGGCAUGAUGGCUUGCAUCUAAGUCGCAGAUUGCCUCAUCGAAGUUUGCACUUCCAAUGGAGAAUGGAAUAACCGGUCUCCCUAGAUCACCCUUCUUGGUUGGUAGAGACGAGUCUAACCAUGUUCCUCUCGGAGGUCACUCUAGUUGCUUCCUGCAUUAAAGAUGUCUACAAGAUUUGCAGUUUCUAAUUCUCCCGGCUAUCCAGGAAUCUUACCUUGAUCAUUGGCGGCAGCAAAAGGAGCAAGUUGUUGUAACUGAGAUUCUAGCAUCUUAUUAAAGCUAAGCUAAUUCUUGAUAGCAUUUGAAAAACAUUCCAUUCUAAUAUUAAUUGAUUCUAAAGUUUUAUCAUUAGAUGCUAGCUUUUUAGAUAGGCUAUCCAUUAGCUUACCUUGAUUAAGCACUAGCUCUCUUAAAGGUGGUUGAUUAGUGUUAUUGUAAGAAUUAUUAGCUUGGUAAUUACUUGAGUAGUUAGCUGAGUAGUUAGGACGCUGUUGCUGACUCCAGCCUUGAUUUUGCUGAGGACGGUAGUAGUAGUAGUAGUUGUUGAUGUAGUUCACGUCCUCCCUCAGCUCUGGGCAAUUGGUACCUGUAUGCCUAGUUUCUCCACACUCUUCACAAGUCAUGCCAGAAUCAUAAAUGUGCAUGACUUCCUUCUUUUCAAUGGUUCUCUCAUCAAGUCUUUUCAUUAGCAAUUCCAUCUUGGCAGCUAGCAUGUCUACCUCCUUGAGCUAGUGCAUUCCUCCACCUCUCUUGCGGGUCUAAGUUCUUUCAUCACUCCAACCUUGAUUGGAGGCCAUCUUUUCCAUCACAGCAGUGGCUUAAGAGAUAGUAAGUGAUAAGAAUGCUCCUCCAGCAGCAGCAUCCAUGGUUUCAUGAGUGCUGUUGCUUAGCCCAUGAUAGUCUGCAUGAGCAGUCAAUUCUCCAUCCCAUGAUGAGGACACUUGGGUAUGUAAUCUUGAAAGCGCUCCCAAGCUUCUGGGACUGUCUCAUCAUGUUGUUGCUGAAAACUUGAUAUCUUCCCACACAGAGCAUUGGUCUUGCCUAUGGGAAAGAACUUCGCCAGGAAAUUGGUGGAACAUAAUGCCCACAUAGUAUUCUUCUCCUUGUUGGCAUAGAACCACUGCUUUGCUUUCCCCAAGAGUGAGAAUAGGAAAAGGUGAAGUAAUAUAGCAUCUCUGGGGACAUCCUUGAUAGUGAAAUUGCUGCAGAUCUCCAGGAAGUGUUGGAGAUGAGCACUAGCAUCUUCAUGGGCCUUCCCGCAGAACUGGCUUGUUUGUACCAUGUUGAUUAGCACUGGCUUGAGCUCAAAUGACCCAUUAAUGUCCAGAGUUGGUCCAAUAUGGAUGUUGGCCGUAGUGGGAGCUGAGAACUCACGAAGUGACUUGUGAGCCAUGACAUCAAUCUUUGGUGUCAAACUUUAGGUAGGUUAAUCUUCUGACGUAGGAGGAUUGGCAAGCUAAGAUGUUGAUGAUGUUGAGUGAUUCCUUCUCAACUAGCCUUUGUCUUCCUGAUCAAUGUCUCUGGAUUAUCAACAAAGUUAUCUAGGAGAUCAAACCUAUUGAUACAUUGCCCUAUAUAUGAUAAAAAUAGACAAAAAGACAUGGGUAAAGCUGCUGAGUGAGAAGGGUGGAUGAUGCUCAAUCCAUGAGUCGACGUAGUGAUGCUCAUUAUCCUUUAUUGCUUUCACCUUCCCCAACAACGGCGCCAAAAAUGCUUGUUGACACUUCUUAAUGCAACUGCUAAAAAUAGACUCUUAAACCCAUACCUAACAAUGGCGUCAAAAUUACUUAACAUCACUUAAGCUAGGUUGUCACCCCUAACAUGAUGUAGAAGUGCCGGUAUUAAAUCUAUAUGCUUUUCUAGGAAUAAAUAAAUAAAGGAUCUGCAAGCGCAUAGAUAAUACUGAUGUAGCAUUUUAACCAAGAGUAUUCUAGGUAUCAAUAUUUAUAUUUUUACCACUAGAAAGGGACUUGCAAUGAAUAAUGAGCAAUGAGCACUGCAUGUAAUCAUGGAGACAUUAACCAUAUCUUUAUCCAUCUCUCAAGCAGGGUAAGUGUCACACAAGAUAAAUAUGAAUAUGAAUAAUAAGUGACAAAUGAUAAAUAAGAAUUCAUAGCCAUAAGAUAAACAUGAUAAUCAUGUCAAUUAGAUUACUCUAAGCCUAUAGCACUAGCAUGGUAUUAGGACAAUCUUCAAGAAUAAAUCCUAAGUAUUCUAACUAUACUGUCAAAGCAUACAUUGAUUAGUGCAAGUGCACUUAGCAUCAUCACUAGAAAAGGUUAUAUCUAUGCAUAGUGAUAUUAGCAAAAAAGAUCAUGAACAUAGCAAUUACUUUCCUGUAAUAAUGGUGCUCUGCAAUCCUUAUAAUCAGGAGAAGGAAUACAAAGGACUCAACUGGACUGUCACUCCCGCGAUCUACCUCAAGCUCUAGACUAUAAGGGGUAAUCGCAGAUAAAUACGGUCUAGGCACCUCGCCUAGAAAAUAUCUAUGACUUACACAUUAGCCUAAUGAGUAAGCGCUAUACGAUCCUAUGAAUAAACAUAAUUCUAAUCUAAGUACGCUAAGCAUAUAUUCAAAGCAUACUAAGAACAAUAUAAUUGAGAACAUAAGCAAAUAGAGUAAAGUCAAUUCUGAUAUAAUCAAAUAGAUCAAAGUCAAAUUCAUAGUAGCAAGAAAUAUAACAAAGAGAAUAAGAGUUUACCAAGAACUGAAGAUUGAUCUAGACUCUAAGAUUAACUUGACUCCUUCUAGAUCUAUUCCUAUGUAGCUAUGCUAAAGAACUAUAGAGAUCUAAUUGAGAUGGUGGCUAAGAAUCCAAUAGAGACACAUCCAUUCGAGGGAUCCCUCUCUAUCUAAUUCUUCUUCUCUUAAUCCUCUCAGAGAAUAAUGAACUCCUCUCCAGGGGGUCAGGGUCUUUAUUUAUGGCCCCCAAGGAAGCACCACAACCCUUGGAUCAAACCAACUUAAACGUGUGCUUAUGAUUAAUCCUGAAAGUCGGUGGAGGCAGGAUCUGCGAGGUUCACCCUUAUUGGUUGAACCACCCGGGCGGCUGCCCCUGAUAAGGUGGGGCGCCCGUCUCUACCCUAUGGCUGAUGGGCCCCACCUUUUCAGAUGGUGUCUUAAUCUAAGGGGGUACAAUCAAUCUAGAAAACUAUUGAGAAUGAGGAAAUAGCUAAUGUACUCUGGUUCUAAUAACCGGUAAACUUUGUAUAAUAUCGUCUUAUCAGACAAGUAACCCGAAGGAGAAGAAACAGAGUAAUCUCCUAUCAGGCACCUAUAAGCCUAUCGAUCCUAUCAAUGGGAAUUGGACUACAGAGGUAUCAACGUAGCUAUAAAGUCACCUACGUUAGCUACCACUGUCCGGCUGAUCCGGGGACAUUCACAAGCAACCAUAGCCUAGACACCACGUCUAUUCUGUGAAUCACUACUGCGACCUAGGAACUAACCAAAUCGUAGUACUCAAUAUAGUAUGAGUUUCAAACCAAAAAACAAAUAAAAACAAGUUGCUUACUUGAAUCAUAAUGGUAAAUACAAAAGUACCUCAGAACGUAGCUCUAGGCGACUGAGCCAAAACCAGACGAAUACAGCUCCUGAGGAAGCUCCGACUGGCUGGGACUCCUCCGAAUCUCUACUCCUCUAUGUUGAUAUUUGGUAACGCAAUAAGGAAAUGAUCCGCAAGCGCACGGAUAUCGGUGAGCAUUUCACCUGGGAGGUUUUUCAGAGUAUCGUAUUUAUAUUUUUACCACUGGGAGAAAGGGUGCAUCUGACUAACCGAAUCUAUUGCUACUAUCCCUUUAGGCUACAAAGAAUGUUUCUCGAUGUGAGUGAUGUAUAGAGAAGACUGCAACCGUAGUCUCGUUCUAACCUUAAUAAGGAUGAUCUACUGUUCUAUUGGGUAAGCUUACGGAAUCUAGACACCACAAAGGAUGUUCGACCCGCACCUAUAAACCUACCCGUCCUGCUAACGAGAUGUGGGAUGCAAAGGUAACUCGGAAAUGUCACGUUCCUCGCUACUACCAUGGUCCAGCUAGUCAGGGGAUAUCUAUGAGUACCCUAGCCCAAACACCACAUUUACGCUAGCAAUGAUUACUCUAAUACUCAACUAGAAGAGAUUAAAGUAAAUUCAUAAACCAAAGAACAAUAAAACCAGAACUUACUAGAAUUAGAAGUCGAAUUACUGAAGAAUCCUAGGAGCAAGCCUCGGGUUAGAAGACUUGAUCCCGAAGGUACAACCUCGGAGUAGACACCAACAGGCCAGGCUUCCUCUGCUACACCUCCACUCUAUCUCUCUCAAUCUAGUAGAAACUAGAAGAUCUAAUUCUACUCACAUUGGAUGCUAAGCCUAAAAGAAAUUUUAUUUAAAGAAGAGGUAUUCCUUCGAGGGUUCCUCUCAACUCUAUAAUGAACUUGUCUCCUCCAGGGGCCAGGGGGUCUGGUUUUAUACUCCCCUCAAGUGAACGUGAGCCAUUGGAUCAAACUGACAUUGAUUGGACGGUUAUCCUUGAUCCUUUAGGUCGGUGGAGCUUAGUCCGCGAAGAGAGUUCUGAAUCGAAUCCAGGUUAGGGCGGGCGCCCUGCCCCCGGGCCCGUUUGGCCUCCCGUUCGUUCCCGUGGCUUCUGGAGUCUUCUAGAUGAUAGAAAAUUGCACGACACGUUAAUAUCUCUAUGUAAACCUGACGUGUGGGCCUUUCUUCCGUAUUUCCUGAUAACCCCCUGCAGAAAUAGACAAACACCAAAACUCGUGGAAUUCUGUCAGAUAAAACCCUAAGUCUGGGUGUUGGUUGCAUUUGGAUCCUUUUCUUUAUUUAUUUGAUGAUUAUAUUUGGUACUUAAGGACCAUCAACAACUCCCCCAAGCUUACCUCUUGCUCGUCCCUGAGCAAGGAUGAACUCAAGAGUUUCUGCAGUGGUUUCAUGCCUUAAAAGUAAUAUCUCAUCUCUGAGUUAGGGUAAACUAUUAAGACUUAAAACUUACUCAUUUUACCUUUCACCAUGGGGCUUGUAACUGUCACUUGUGUCUUGAGGAGUUAAAGGAUAGAACGGUCAAGUUAAGCGCCAUGUCUCUUAUUCUUGAUUAGCUAUAGCUCUGGAGUUUUUGCAGAUUUUCAAAUAAAACUCAGAGAUUCCUUGUAUGACUCUCUCAGAUCUCUCUUUUGUGGUAUUUCUGGAUCCUUACCAAGGCAGUAAUGAUACAUGCCUUCUCUCAAAGUAUGUGGUAUUUUUGGUAUAAGGCAUAGUGAUAUUGCCUUCUCUCUUACCCUACUCUAAUAAGGUUUUGGUAUCUGGAGCUCAUAGGUGGGAGACAGCUAAUACAUACUUACAAGACAUUUAUUGCAUAGUCAAACCAUGGAUCCAGAAGAACAAGUCAAUAAGUCAAAUCAAGAUGUGCAUGUGUGGCGAGUGAAUGGUGUAUGGUGAUGAUCGUGAUAACAAUGGUGAUAAUCUAAUUCUACUUUUGCGCUUUUAAGGGGAUACAUAACUUUCUUGCACUUUGAAGCUUUUUGAGGAGAAUGAGAUGCUCUAUAUUUCCUUUUUCUUUCACUCUCAGGUGGGUAUCUUGUACUCUUAAUUCUACUGUCACACACUUGUCUAUUUUUACCUCUCGUCUCACUUUUUCUUUUCUUUCAAGGUUCUGGGCACUUGCCCCUUUUUAUUUCCUCGUAUUUUUUUCCUCUUUUUCUUUUUUUAAGCACUCAUCUCCUGAAAUAAUAGAGCAAGUGGUAGUAACCAAGAUAACUCGAGCAUUUAUUUCACAGGGAAAACAGAAAUAGGAUAAUCUUUUUGGCUAUUCUCUUCCGAAUUAGGAGUAGAAUAAUUUUAGAUGAAUCUGGAGAUGGAAUUGAGUGGAUGUAUGUGAAUGCGUACUUCCGGAGUAGAAGCAGCAUGUGUGAGUGAACAUGCAAGUGAAUCUUGAUUUUAACCGCAUGACAAGCUCCUAAGGGUCUACACAGCUUGACCACACUCAAUGCUCAUAAGCAGUAAAAAGUAAAUGUGUGGCUCAAAGUCUAAUAAGCAUGUAUAUAUGGCUGUGGUAGGAUUUUAAACUCUCAUCAUAUAGGAACUCAUCAUGUGUUAUUUUAAAGAUUUUUCAAAGAUAAAAUUCUCCAGAAUUCUAGCAUCUCUAGGAGCAAAUAAACAGCAGCUCAACCUUCCCAUAUCAUAUCUGUUAACGACUUAGACUUCAGAUCAAGUAUUCUUCCCACAAGUUCAGGUUUAGAGCAGGUUUAAAUUAAAAUAGUUAUGCCUAAACUUGAGGGAGAUUUCAAUUUUAAGAAAAAGUCAUGGCAGAGCAACUAUUCAUCAUUUCCAUAUGAGAGUUUAUCAUGAGGGUUCAUAGCAAACUUUAUUUAUUUAUUUAUUUAGCAAACUAAGCAAAGAUAUAUAUAUAUAUAUAUAUAUAUAUAUAUAUAUAUAUAUAUAUAUAUAUAUAUAUAUAUAUAUAUAUAUAUAAAAGCACAAAAUCUUUAUUUGGGUUUUCAUGAUUAUGCAUCUUUUAUUAUUUGAGUAAAGUAUAAACGCGAGUAGAAACACUUAGCUGGAUAAAUGGGGGUGCUCUCCCCCAAGCUGGAUUUUGACGUAAUUUCUUCGGAUGUAGCUAGCAGGUGGUGGAGGUGUAUUUGAAAGUCGGCAGCACUCUCACAGCGAUUAGGAUGUCCUCUGUCUGCUAGUCUUCUUUGAUCCUUGAAUUCUGUGGAGCUCAAAUAGACAACAAAGCUUUGUGAAACUGGUUAAGUGUUAUCAUAAAUAUCUAGCCUUUAUCAUGUUGAGCCUCCUCAAUAAAUGUUAUUUAUUUAGCAGGAUCAUGCAUUUAUUAUUUUUAUAUUUUUAUUGUAAGAUGAAAACUUAUUUAUUUUAUUUUUAUGCCACCAUAGUGAAUGUACUUAUGGGUUUUAUGCCAUGAGCAUACUCACAUGGGGCUUACUAUUUUUUAACAUUUUUAUUUUCUUUUCAAGAUAGCAUGAACGUGAUUAACUAAGCAAACUAUAAUUGAAUAAUUGAAAGGAAAAGGAUAACUACCAAGUUUACCUCUUGGCAAGGCGUUCGAUGUUUUUAAGUCCUCCGAACGGGACUCCUUGUGUUUUCAGUCGUCCUGGGAUUCGCUAGGUGGCGUAGUCGGUGAUUCCGGCAGCGCCUCUUCUUCGUGUAUAACUAUCUUCUCUCUCCACACCUGACUCGGUGCUACGGUCUCCUUAGGACAGUUCUGUUCAAGCUGUAUGUCUUCAGUCCUUAUCACUUCUCCUUCGUAGUCUGCCCAUCCGUCCUUGAUGAUUUGCCUCCUCUGGUUGCGGUUGCGUUGUCUUCUUCUUGUCCUGACCUGCUUAGAGUCUUCAACUAUAUAGUUAAGGUCAGUAAAAUAGCGGCGUACCUUCUCAGAGGGGAAGUACAUGUGGACUUCCCCUGUUCUAAAGUAGAUGAUUGCUUUAACGGUGCCGAGCAACGGUCUCCCAAGGAUGAUGGGUGGAUUGUACUCAUCUUCUCCCAUGUCAAUGACCUGAAAAUCGUCUGGAGCUGAAUAUAUUUUGGUUGUAGGGGCAUGGUUCCAUGCAGGAGCUGAUAAGUGACUGCGGUCAUUAUGUUGUCAUCAGACCCGGUGUCGUAGAGUGUCUUCUGAAAAGAGUAUCCAUUGAUUGUGCAUUCGAUGCUUGGAACACUAAGGUCGUCCUUUUUGACUAGGAAAGGCGACUUGAGUCGACGAUCUUGACCUCCUUUGAUAAGGAUCCAAUGUUUUAAGUCUUCUAGACAAGACUUCUCACCGUCUUCAUCUUUUAGGUGCAUCAUUUGAUUAGGUGUGGACCUUGACGUCUGCACCUCUUGAUACGGAGUCACCCACGUUUUUCGUUUGCCCAGCAGUUCGAAGUGCGGUGUUGGCAAUAUCCUGCUCAGUAUGUUUAUGCUCGUAGAUCU
rnacentral:lncRNA from 1 species